rnacentral:rRNA from 1 species
AGCAGCCGCGGUAAUUCCAGCUCCAAUAGCGUAUAUUAAAGUUGCUGCAGUUAAAAAGCUCGUAGUUGAAUUUCGGGAUCAUCAUGUCGGUCGUGCCUCGGUACGUACUGGCAUUGUUGGUUUCUACCUUCUGACGAACCAUGAUGUCAUUAAUUUGGUGUCUUGGGGAAUCAGGACUGUUACUUUGAAAAAUUAGAGUGUUUAAAGCAGGCUCGCGCUUGAAUACAUUAGCAUGGAAUAAUGAAAUAGGACGUUUUGAUUCUAUUUUGUUGGUUUCUAGGAUUGACGUAAUGAUUAAUAGGGAUAGUUGGGGGCAUUAGUAUUCAAUUGUCAGAGGUGAAAUUCUUGGAUUUAUUGAAGACUAACUACUGCGAAAGCAUUUGCCAAGGAUGUUUUCAUUAAUCAAAGAACGAAAGUUAAGGGGAUCGAAGACGAUCAGAUACCGUCGUAGUCUUAACCAUAAACUAUGCCGACUAGGGAUCGGAUGAUGUUAAUUUUUAAUGACUCAUUC